AGUGAACGCUGGCGGUAGGCCUAACACAUGCAAGUCGAACGGCAGCACAGUAAGAGCUUGCUCUUACGGGUGGCGAGUGGCGGACGGGUGAGGAAUACAUCGGAAUCUACUUUUUCGUGGGGGAUAACGUAGGGAAACUUACGCUAAAACCGCAUACGACCUACGGGUGAAAGCAGGGGAUCUUCGGACCUUGCGCGAUUGAAUGAGCCGAUGUCGGAUUAGCUAGUUGGCGGGGUAAAGGCCCACCAAGGCGACGAUCCGUAGCUGGUCUGAGAGGAUGAUCAGCCACACUGGAACUGAGACACGGUCCAGACUCCUACGGGAGGCAGCAGUGGGGAAUAUUGGACAAUGGGCGCAAGCCUGAUCCAGCCAUACCGCGUGGGUGAAGAAGGCCUUCGGGUUGUAAAGCCCUUUUGUUGGGAAAGAAAAGCAGCAGGUUAAUACCCCGCUGUUCUGACGGUACCCAAAGAAUAAGCACCGGCUAACUUCGU
rnacentral:rRNA from 1 species